AUAACAACUUCAGACAAUAUUAGGGGUCUUAUCAAUAGUCUUAGAUCCAAGAAUAUUACCUUUGUUGUCAAGAGAAGAGACAAAGUCUCAUUUCUUAGGAGUGAAAGAAGAGAAGAUAUUUUUAUUUUUGGUGAUUUAAUUUGAAUAAGCAUUAUCAUGAUACAAUUUCAAGUUUCCAAACACAUAUGCAUCACACCUUAACUUUUUAUCUAAAUAUUUCCAGAAG
rnacentral:lncRNA from 1 species